rnacentral:lncRNA from 1 species
AAGCACCUUCACUCAAUAUUUUGCAUUUGAUCUUGACUUCAAUAGGAACCACCCUUCCGUCAUUGUGCAGCCCGGGAAGAGACCUCUACCUGUGGAAUCCCCGGAUACCCAAAGGAAGCGCAGGAUACACAGAUGCGACUAUGAUGGAUGCAAUAAGGUCUACACUAAGAGCUCGCACUUGAAAGCACACAGAAGAACCCAUACAGGUAGGAGACGCAUCAGCGCCGAAUGCUAGGUGUGUGAGGUAAAGUCGACGCAUCAGCAUUCCAAACACCCUGAGACCAGAAGCUUUUUACUUUAUUUUCUUAUUAUUAUUGGGAGGCAGGGUAUGGCACACAU